CCUUAUCUCAAAUGUUUGGAGUUUGAAUACCCUUUUGUGUCCAACUCGUAACAAAAUGCAUCUUGUUACUAUCCUAUCCUUCAAAUAAUUUCCAAAUUUAAUUGUACCUUUAGCCUAUGGAAAAAGGGUAAGUGGAGUUUAAAUGUUUAUAAUUGUGCUUUGUGAGACAAAUGUGGCUAAAAGAGUUGAAAGAUAUCUUCAAACCAGAGGAUACAAUUAGAAUGGAAGCCUUCUCCCUGUCUCGGCUUGGGGACAGGGUUAAAGAUAGGGGUGCCACAUGGCACCUCCCUAUUGGAGGGGCGC
rnacentral:lncRNA from 1 species